rnacentral:rRNA from 1 species
GGCUCAGAUUGAACGCUGGCGGAAUGCUUUACACAUGCAAGUCGAACGGCAGCACGGGAGCUUGCUCCUGGUGGCGAGUGGCGAACGGGUGAGUAAUGCGUCGGAACGUACCGAGUAAUGGGGGAUAACGCAGCGAAAGUUGUGCUAAUACCGCAUACGCCCCGAGGGGGAAAGUGGGGGACCGCAAGGCCUCACGUUAUUCGAGCGGCCGACGUCUGAUUAGCUAGUUGGUGAGGUAAUGGCUCACCAAGGCGACGAUCAGUAGCGGGUCUGAGAGGAUGAUCCGCCACACUGGGACUGAGACACGGCCCAGACUCCUACGGGAGGCAGCAGUGGGGAAUUUUGGACAAUGGGGGCAACCCUGAUCCCGCCAUUCCGCGUGAGUGAAGAAGGCCUUCGGGUUGUAAAGCUCUUUCAGCUGGAACGAAACGGUACGCUCUAACAUAGCGUGCUAAUGACGGUACCAGCAGAAGAAGCACCGGCUAACUACGUGCCAACAGCCGCGGUAAUACGUAGGGUGCGAGCGUUAAUCGGAAUUACUGGGCGUAAAGCGUGCGCAGGCGGAUUGUUAAGCAAGAUGUGAAAUCCCCGUGCUUAACCUGGGAAUGGCAUUUUGAACUGGCAGUCUAGAGUGCGUCAGAGGGGGGUGGAAUUCCACGUGUAGCAGUGAAAUGCGUAGAGAUGUGGAGGAACACCGAUGGCGAAGGCAGCCCCCUGGGAUGACACUGACACUCAUGUACGAAAGCGUGGGUAGCAAACAGGAUUAGAUACCCUG